rnacentral:tRNA from 1 species
GGGGCUUUGGCGCAGUUGGUAGCGCGUUUCCAUGGCAUGGAAAAGGUCAGGAGUUCGAAUCUCCUAAGCUCCACCA